AGAGAAAAGACGAAGACUCAGUUCUUAAGGCUGGAGGAAAUCUGUUAUUGGUAUUGGUGUCAUAUGUCUCCACCAGACAGCAGAACUGUGUGCCAAAUAUUUUCUACCUAAAAAUGAUUCUCAAUACCUGAUAAUUUUUUAUAUUUAGAAAUCUGUGAAAUACCUACAGAGUAACAGCUGCUACAGUUCUGCAUUAUGUACAUUAUUUCUCUUCAUAUCACUUUGUGAAGUAGGUAUACUGCACCUACUAAGCAUAUUUUACAUUGAGAACAUUGACUGCAGGUUUUCCUUUAUCUUAGACUAGUUUGGAUGAUUCAAUCAUAAUAUUUAUCACAACCGUACUAACUGAAAUCUGCUGCUGAUUUGGACAACUUUUACUUGCUUGGCUGGAAAUCUCAUUUGGACAGAUGCUAUCAACAUGAAGGGCUUAACUAUUUGCUGUGUGGAUAAAUGGAUUGGAAAUGCGACUAAUCUGUCAAAUACCCACAUUUUUAGUAGUAUGGAACAAGUUUGAAACUCAGCCUAUUACUGCUUGUAUAUUCUCUACCCUUGGUUCUGUCUUUGCUUAAGGAUUUGAUACUGACAUGCUGACUGCCUUUUCAUAAUGCAGUUGGAGCCCAGUGGAACUCUUGCUUUCACUCUGUCAUAUCCAUAUAAACUGGACAGGCAGAACAGAAAAACUACCAAGGAUGUCGCUCCCCGUCUUCGUGGAGGAAUGACACUAAACCCUGCCUAGGCUUCAU
rnacentral:lncRNA from 1 species